UUGGUACUUGGAGAGAGGUGGUCCGUGGCGCGUUCGCUUUAUUUAUGGCGCACAUUACACGGUCGACCUCUUUGCGGUAUCUAAUC
ensembl:miRNA MIR323A microRNA mir-323a